rnacentral:rRNA from 1 species
UACAGAGACUGCAAGCGUUAUUCGGAUUCACUGGGCGUACAGGGAGCGUAGGCGGCGCGGUAAGUCAGAUGUGAAAUCCCGGGGCUCAACCCCGGAACUGCAUCCGAUACUGCCGUGCUAGAGUAUUGGAGAGGUAGCUGGAAUUCUUGGUGUAGCAGUGAAAUGCGUGGAGAUCAAGAGGAACACUCGUGGCGAAAGCGAGCUACUGGACAAUAUCUGACGCUGAGGCUCGAAGGCCAGGGUAGCGAAAGGG